UACGUAGGGGCUAGCGUUAUCCGGAAUUACUGGGCGUAAAGGGUGCGUAGGCGGUCUUUCAAGCCAGAAGUGAAAGGCUACGGCUCAACCGUAGUAAGCCUUUGAAACUGGGAAACUUGAGUGCAGGAGAGGAGAGUGGAAUUCCUAGUGUAGCGGUGAAAUGCGUAGAUAUUAGGAGGAACACCAGUUGCGAAGGCGGCUCUCUGGACUGUAACUGACACUGAGGCACGAAAGCGUGGGGAGCAAACAGGAUUAGAUACCCUGGUAGUCCCUGA
rnacentral:rRNA from 1 species